AAUAUUUUUACAAGACAUAAAUUUUGAGCAAAUUGUACACAUCAGCAUCCCCUUCAUAUGACUUCUGUCUUCUCUGUUUUUUUUGGAUCAGAUCAGAGUUUUCAUCGUAGGUGAGAAAUCUGGCCCAGAGUUGACCACCCAGAGACCACAAGGCCCAAUGAGAAGGGACCACCCAAAUACUGAUUUUCCACUACAUUCAAAUCAGAGCAGGUUGUUGACAUAGCCUGGAGGAGCUGAUGAGUUGUGGAAAAAACAGAACCUUUUCAUGAAAAUGUCUCAGGAAAGAGAGAGAGAACAGUGAUACUUAAAAUAUGAUGGGUUCCAGAUGUGCUUGGUACAUAGUCUUCCUGAUGUUGUCAGCUACCGAGAUCAAUAGCCAAGGUAGGUAAAUUCUGGAAAUAAACUGUGUAUAGUUCUGUGAAGACAAACUACACUGGGAUGUUUUUGUGAUGUCAGUCAGUGUUGGUGCAGGAGCUCAUGGGUUUUUACUGUAAGUUUAGGAGAUUUACAGCCCUCAUUGCUAUUAUCCUUAAUAUGGUCCUUCAGGACUUUCUGAACAAAUUUAUCCUUCCCUUAUCCUUAACCUCUGUGACUGCAAACUGGUGAGUUCUCCACAAAAAUCAAGAUGGCUUACUCAACAGCACAGAAUAAUCUUUUUUUUUUUUUAGGAGUAAUAUAUUAUGUUGUUGUAGCCGUGAUAGUUUAAAGAUAUAGGUAAGACAAAGUUUGAUGAUAGUCUAAUAGAAUUUUCUACCUCUGCUGCUUGUUAACUGGUCUCAUAGAAGACAGAGGUACUAACAGAUUAGUCUGCUAUCUUUCACAGGCUUUCUUAUCUUUCAUCAGUCUCAAAUGCUACCUUAUCUAUAGAUUUUUGUUUUGCCUUUUGAGCAAUGAGUAACAGACAUUGAACCAGUGCAAUCUACAUACCACAGCUGCUCUUCAAUGCUAAUCCUCACAUGGAAAAGAACCAAGAAAUGCUCUUGGUGUUGUUUUAAUAAAAGCUAGUGUUGGCCUUCCCAUUCUAAAUGAAUGAGGCUGCAGACCUCGCAGGCCUCAAUAAUCUACUUUGCAAGUCUAGUUCUGAAAGCUGUUUGAUACCCAGCUGUUUAAAAUCAUGAAAUGCAGUUAAUAUUAAGAGUUAGUCAUGGGUGAAAAACAAGGACUAAGGACUGCAAGCACUUGAUUCUAAAUCCAGGUGAAAGACUUGAUCCAAAUCUGGUAAAGAAACACCAGAUUUGGAUCAAAAUAAAUACGACUAUUUUAUUAAUUUUUGCCAGAUCAUAAGUUUUUUUUGUAUUGUGUUAAAUGCAUUGCAAAAACAUGCAAUGUAACACUAAUGCUAUUGUGAUAUGCCUUGAAACGUAAGGUUGUCAAACAAAUUCUUCCUAGUUUGAGAAAAUCUCCAUGUAAGAAAAGAAAUAAAUCUAAUUUCUAUCUUGAAACUGACAGGAGCAUUUUAUUCCUGCGGGGUUGGUCACUUGAGACAAAUAUUGGUCUGACAGGUUGACUUUGAUUGCUUGUUGCACCACAUCAUAUCUAACCUCCUGAUCAAACCUUAUUUGCAUGGAAGAAAAAAAAAAAAAGGCUGCCAGGACUUCAGAACAACAGUGUUUAGGCAGAGACCGCAAAAUUUGGACUUUGCAAUGUUGUUGUUUAAUUGUUUUCUCUUUGUUCCAAGUAGUUGAAAGUUCAAUGAGUUUGAAACUCUGCUAAGGGAAAGGCAAAUGGCAUAACCAAAGAUAUGAUGACUCUGAGGAAAAAAAAUAUUGUGUGAUACUUCCACUCAGGUAAAAAAUAGGAGACAGCUGUUUAAAUAAAUACCAAAAAUAAUGCAUUUCUGUCUGAAAAAUAAGGUAAGAGCUGAAGCAAAUAAGUGAUGGUACCUUCUUCUAUGCCUGGGUGGGAAUGAAAUCUUAGUGACCUAUGCCUCUAGCAUGUUUAUCUGUCAUUAUGCUUGUGGUUUCUCAGCUACAUAGACUUAUUGCUAACAAGAAUUAUACUGAAAGAUAACUUUGGCCAGAACAGUUGCAGGGAACAUUGCAUGCCUGCCAAACAAUCCUCCAGUAUGUUCUUAGUUUUCAUGUGAUGAUAAUGGUAAUCUGAUCUGAACAGAAGCAAUGAAUUUAACAGUUACACACAGAAAAUGGAGGUAAAGAGACAGUGGGCAGAACUGGGUAUCUGAUAUUCUUUAUCAGCUUCAGUUAUCAGAGGAAUUGAUCAAAGGAAGGCAUAUAACAGACAAAUAUUUUCAGUGGUGCUUGACAAACUUUUGAAUAAGGCAUUUCUUUUGCAGGUUGUACAUGGAAAAAUAAACAUUUCCAUCAUGGCUGGAAUACUUAAAAUGCAAAAAAAAGACCUGUAUUUGAUUUAAGAAAAGAAUCCCGCAUCUAUUUUUCCAGAUCUACUAGGCAGUAAUAGGUAGUACAGCAGUAUGUUUAUUAUUAUUCACAGAUCACAGCUACUUAAUGUGAUUCUUUCAUAUGCAAAAUAUGAUAUAAUUAUUGAAUCCAGUUCUCAGAAGAUGUUUAUGAUAUGUUGCCUGUUUACAGGAAAUUCCAAACUAGAUCAAGUUAUUGGGAUCUUCAAUCAUCUUUCAAAUACAAUUCAGAGAUAUUGUGACCAUAUAUAAAUGUAUUGCUUUUGUAAGAGAAUUUAUACAGUAUUGAGUUCUGAGGGGAGACAGAUGUCUUCUGUCAGCCACAGAUAAAAAUUCUGUGUCUGUAAAUUUGUUUAAAAUUGCUUUUAAUCACAUUGGGGAAAUUCAGAUAUAAUGAUAGCAGGCAUUUAUUGUAUCCCAAUUCUGACAGUAGAAAAGGGAGGCCACGGACAAUUACGGAAGUCUUUUUAGCCUGUUCUAUUGUCCAUUUUUGAGGUGAAAAUCUUAUGUUUAAAGCAUUAAUGGCAGAAAUGAAAGAAAAAUACCACACCAUAAUUCUUGCCCAAAUGAUUCCACUGUGCUCACUUUCUACUGUCAUUUCUCUGCUUGAAGCCUCUGCUGGUGUUGGUUGUUUUCACUGUAAAGUAUUCACAGGAAAACUAUUUAAUAUUAAGACAGGAUUCCUGUUCUGGUGCAUCCUAAAUAUAGCAGAGUCAAAUAACCUACCUUGCUCAUUUCUUUGAUUUUUUUUUUCUUCACUUAACUGAUUCUCUAGCAGCUUGCACAGCUGUCAUCCACUUCAUGUAUUUUGGCAGUGUUAUUUUUCGUUCCUGUGGAGCAUGUUUUGAUUUCUCUCCUUGUGAAUUUCUUAUUUCAGGACAAUUUCUUCUCCCCAGAAGAACAACUUUCUGGAGCAGGACUCUCAUGCUGAACUCUCCUUGGCACUUCGCGGUGAGACAGUAAAGAGAGGGGAGAGAGGAAAACACGCUGUGGCAAUGCCAUGAAAGCAGUGAAAGGGAGAUAAAUUCAAAUAAUUCAGAAACUAUACUCCCUCAAAUUUCACUAGAUUCUUUCCCUUUGUUUGAUAGAGUUAAGUUUUCUUCCAAAAAAAAUGAAAACCCCUCCUCUAGUGCAGUAUCAGGCUGAUUCACUACUGCUGGCCUAAGUUGUUUGAGACCCGAGAACGGCCUCGCUGAGGAGAGUGCUAUGAACACACUACACCAUCAGUGGUAGCCAUUGACUUCUUUUUCUUGCGAAGGGGCUGUGUUGUUUUCCCCCCGCGGCGGCGUGUGACUUGACCCAGCUACUGAGAAACCCUUUGGAGAGGCAGCCUUCCGCCCGGCCCAUUAAUUUUUGUCUCGUAACAUGGCAUGGUUGACCUUUCCGGUGUUGUUUGUAGCGGAGGUAGCUCCUCUACGGACCAUUUGGCAUUUCAAGCCUGCAGGAAUUUGGAGAGGUGCCUAACAACCACAGCAGGCGCACGAGCUGUUUUGCAAGCCUCCAGCCACCUCUGCAGCUAGCGUAAGCCUAAUAGGGCCGCUCUCCUCUUCUUUCUGUGUAGUUGACAGGGAUGCACAGGGAUGUCUGUUUUAGAGGGGACUUAGCAAUGCUUUGCCUAAUUUUGCUGCCUCUGUAAUUUUUCUGUAAAGAAAGAGCCCUUUCCUUGUGCAUUUAUACAAUACUGCAUUUCUUUACCUUAGUCUCCUCAGAGCAAAGACGUGCCUUUCACAAUCAUAGCCCUAGACCGCUUCUUCCAGAAACUGCUGCAUUUUGUGCUCUAUAUGAAGCUGUGACAAAACCAAUUUAUAGGUCAAAGAUGACAGGAAAUAGAAUAAAAUACAGAGCUCUGAGACUUGGCAGGAGGCAAGAAAGGUUAAAUGCUGGUGCCCUAUAGCAGCUGUAGUGUAAGUUGACAACUGUUUCUGAAUAAACAACUGCUGGUUCAGUCCCGAGACACGGUCGCGGUGUCUCAUGUGGAGACUUCCACCGCGGUGCUCUGGGUGCUCCCGUUCCCGGCCCACAGUGCUAGGGCUGCUGGUGUGACACUUGCUCCUUUGUACACCUUUCUAUUUUCUUUCAAAUGGCUUCUAAAUAUAGAGAAAUGAUGUCUGCUGGGAAGAAAGAAAGAAAGAGCAAGGUAGUAAUAUAUUUUGCAGUUCUCUGAUUGGGAGAACAUGCCUCUGGUCAUAUAUUUGUGCAUCAGAGAGACAGAAAAAAAUCUCUGCCCUGCUGACUGUUUAAAAAGCAAAAAUGAACGAGUGUGCAUUAUGUGUAUAUAACCAGGGUGACUUGGGACUCAGCCCACAAACGAACCUGAGACAAACUACAAGCCAAUGAUGGCAAAACUUUACGAGUUCAGCAGUUUGUGUCAGUCCAGAUAUGUGCCUAAAGGUAUGACAAUGAGCAGAUCUUUUCUGAACCUGCGUGUUUAGGCUACAAAUCUUUCAGGAUGGGCUGUUUUCUUUCACUGUGUGUGAGAUACUUGCUGGUAAGUGCCUCAAUAAAUAGUAGUGCAGCAGGAGACGACAUGCAUCAAAACCUGAGCUAUACCGAGCCUUCUGAAUCUGUGGCACCAUGGUAAUUCUUCACACAACUAGAGAGGGGGAAAAGUGGAAAUUUGAAUUUGAAAUAAUUUAAGAAAAAAGAAUAUGUGCAUAGGAACUAUAAAGCUCAUUUGCUGUGUACUAUUCUAAGCUUAAAAAGAAAGUGCUUAUAUAUAUAUAUAUAUAUAUAUAUAAAACGUAUUAUAAUAAUGUAACAGGCUGUUCUCUAGCAGUUUCUUGGCAUAUCAUUGGUGCUACAAGAAGGCUCUUUUUAUGUUUGGCUGGCUUUUUAAACAGGCUAGUCACAAGACUUUAAAUCAGACUCAGAGCGCAGUUGCAAGAAUAUACCUUUUUGCUUCUCAGCAUACUCAAUAGAAAUAAAAAUUUUUCACUUCAUGUCAGAGUGACUCUACUUCUGAGGAUAUAAAGCCAUGUAUAGGUUCUACAGUGUCUUAGAGUUAAAACACUGUCUUAAAGUAUAAAUUAAAGCAACACAGAAAAGUAUGUUUUUAUCUGUAGCAACCUCUACAGCUUACUCUGAAAGAGAGAAACACCAGAUCAUACCAAAGGACAUAUAAUAGCCCUCUCCCUCGUUCCGAUGCCUUAUUCUCUUCUAUGCUGAUCUGUUAAAAUAUAUGUGCUCCUUGCAAUACUGUAUAUUUCUACAAGCUCUUAAGCUAUACAUCUUAUAUUGUCAGAUGUUAGGUUGUUCUGUCACUGCCCAUCCAGGGUCAUAAUGUAUGGGGAGCCAAGGUUAUGUAUAGCAGUCUUCUUCUUAGCUUGCAUCACAUGAGGAAUAACUUGUGCUUGAAGGACUAUUUUGACACAGUCCUGGUCCACUAUGCUGUCAGUUUAGGGUACCUGGGCUUAGAGAUAAAACAUACCACUUUGUCUAGAUCUAACCUAAAAAAAAAUUCACAUUUCAAUCAAGGUGUUAGACAUGAAAGUGUAUGAAGCAUUGAAGCAUAUCUGAAACUAUGUUCAUUAGAAAUUAUCUGAGCGAGGUGCUUGCUAGGUUACCAAAAAAAAAAAAAAAACCACCCUUGAACACAAUACAUAAUCUUGAUGCAGCCGGCAACUGCCGAUGCUAAAGUGUAUUGCUAGUAUGCCUUAGACAAUUAAACUUGUCACACCUUUGGCUAUGAAGAUUUAAAAAUGUUCUUCACUUUGCAUAUAUAUGUAUAUAAAAACUGUGCUCUUUUUAUGAGGGUCCCCUGCUCACACACACAUUUUUCACUAAUUUUUAGCCUGAUAAAAUUAGCCUUAAUUCUGAGUCAGAGCUGCUGUUUUUUUCCUGUUUUAUCUUGCUUGUACCAGGGUCUGUUGUUUGGAUUAAUUUCCCACCUAUUACUUUGCAAUUCAAUUGCUUCUGAAUUAUACCAUCAGCAACACCUGUGCAUAAAUUUAGAGUGUUUUAACUCCAAAAGAGACCAUCAGAGUAGCUGUAACGUGUGGGUAACUAGACUUUUUUGAUUCAAAUUCAGGCAGCUUAUAGGGAUACGGCACGUCAGCGAAAGCUUUCCUCCCCAAGGAAAGAGGCCUUCCAGCGGCAGAAAGGGGCUGCGCAGCCAGGAGCCCGGCAUCACCAGUGCCCCCAGAAUUGCCCUUCCACAGGGUUUAGACACACUUGCUGCAGACUUCAUGAGCUUCAUCGCUGAAGAACACUGCUCCUUGUGGACAAAUUUCAAAUCCUUACGCUACCUGACUUGUGUCUUUUUUUCAGUUUUUCACACUUAAGUGUUAUGUUAAAGUCACAUAAUAAACCAUCUUUUUUUUUCUUGUUUAAAUGAGAUGGUUUUCUUUAGUUCUAGUUCUCUUGCAUUUUUGAGUGAUUGUUUCACUGACUCUUUUCUCUCAAGUUCAUUGGCCUUUCUGGGGAAUAGGAGAGGAGGGGGGAGGUCCACAUGCUUCUUCCCUUGACCUCUGAAGCUCUCUGCUACAGAAUUUAGUAUAAAGGCACCAGCAGCUGUCAUCUUCCUCCAGAAAAGCAUUAUAUGGAAGUGAUGAAAUAUUUUGUUAUUUAUUUAUUCUUUUUAAAAAGGCAGCUUCCUAGAAGACACUCAUUCUACUUCCAAGGGGGUAACAUACGUAAUUCUUCAUGAUCUUUUUCUGAUGGAGUCAGACGGUCUCUUUGAUAGAUUAUUUGAAGAAAAUCUGUGUAUAGCCAGUUUACAAUCCCCUGCAGCUUUGUGAUGAAAAAGCUGAAAGGGCUCUGUCUCAGGAGACCAUGGCCAGUUAUUCAUUUUCCGUUGUGCCUUUCACUAUUUUGAAGCCUUAAUCAAUAAUAUAAAACUGUAUAUUUGCUUUCUGGUUUUCUGUGGCUCUGUUACACUGUGAUUAAGCUAAUGAUUUUAAAUAAAUUGAAGACUACUU